rnacentral:ncRNA from 2 species
AAUUUAAUAUUAAAUACUGGUAAUCUAUAACGAGUAAAAGUUAGUGAGAAUCUAACACGGUCCCGCCGCUGUAUUAGCAGUGAUUAAAACUGCUUGAGUCAGAAUUUACCAGCAACUCUAUGUCUGC